rnacentral:lncRNA from 1 species
GCCUCAUGCAGCGCGAGAAAAGCGGCCGGACGGCGGCGGCGGCGGCGGGGAUUGCGUCUCCGUCGGGAUUCGAUCAGCAGAUGGCGCAGGAGUUGGGGUUCUCCUCCAUGCUCAUGUUGCGCAUGUAGUAGUACUGCGGCUGCGGCGGCACGUACGGGUGGUACACCGGCGGCGGUGGCGGGGGGCGGUGGUACUGGUUCAUGUAGUCGGCGGUGAGCAUGUGCAUGUACUGCGGCGGCAGCUGGUGCUGGUGGUGCAUCCAUGGAGGGGCCACCGCGGCGGGCUUCUUCUCGUCCUCCUUCUUGCCUUCCUCCUUCUUGCCGUCCUCCUCCUUCUUGCCAUCUCCGUCCUCCUUCUUUCCCUCGCCGCCGUCCUUCUUGCCAUCACCUGCUUCCUCCUUCUUUCCCUCGCCGCCUUCCUCCUUCUUCCCGUCGCCGCCGUCCUUCUUGCCGUCCCCUUCCUCCUUCUUCCCGUCGCC